GUAUAUAACAUACCCGAGGUAAGUACCCGAUCAAUGCCUUUCCCCUGACGAUACUAGAAGGAGAGGUCCACUCGAUUGGUACCCAACCCACAUGUUGUACGUCUUACGAGCACCGACUUUGGACAAUAUCAACCAUGCGGGGACCAACGGUGUGCGUGGAACUCAUAAAAAUGGCAUAGUCGUCCUACCUCGCACGACCCCAUCACGAGAGUGACCACACAUCACUCCCGCCACUAGUAAUGUGGCUCUUUGCUAGCACCGAUAGAGUAAUCAACAUAGCCCGUCCCAUAAGGGGUAACCUGGUCGUACUGGUAAGGUUGGGACGGUCCACACAUCGUAAACCUAAUCCCAUUUCCGAAACCAUACUC
rnacentral:lncRNA from 1 species